UGAGAGGGCGGUUUGAUAUCUUUUUGUCCCUCCUGAGCUCCUGUAGUUCUCCUGGGUUGUGUAGCCCCUCCCUUCUCCCCUCACAGAAAAGUUCCACAUGUUGAAGGCGUAAGCCAAAGAAAGACGGGAUACCGACAUUGUCUGAUUGUCGCCCGCAGGUUUGUGGUUUUAUUUUAUUUCCUAAGGUGUUAACUAUAGCAAAUGUUGCAUGUUUUGUUCUGCCACGGAAUGGCGCUUAGAAUAUACAUUUCAAUAUUUUACAGACUGUUUGUAUCUGUCUUUUUCAUUGUAAAUGGUUAAAGAUGUAUAUGUGACAGAAAAGUUCCACAUGUUGAGGGCGUAAGCCAAAGAAAGACGGGAUACCGACAUUGUCUGAUUGUCGCCCGCAGGUUGGAAGAAAAAUAAAUGAAGCUGAGAACAGUGGAAAAGUCUCAUUGUGCCGACCCAGAACAGUUACACUGGUGCCGUGAACCUUCGGAUCUUCAGAUCGGCUUGAUGCUCGUCGCCGCGGAUGCUGCGCUGCUGACCUGAUCUACGGUUGAUGAUUAUUGUGUGGUCGGAUCUCAAAACAGUGUGUUUGGAUGGCUCCUUCGUAUGUGGUCGUUGAGUUCCUUGGUGAACGUUCAGUCGCUGUUGUCCCAACCAUAUGGACAAAAGAUGAUGGAAAGAAUACCUUCUGCUAUUGGCCAAAGCCAAAUCCUACCCACUCCAGAAUCCGGAGAGCUGAGAUUCCUGACAAAGAAGUCUGGGAUAGGCUACCAAUUCGGGUUUUCAGGAAAACAUUGACUGAAGACUUUGACAAGGCCCUUCAAUAUGAAAAACAAGCUGAAAUGUUUUCGAGCCCAGAGGAAGAAGAAAUAUCAACCAAACGGAGCCACAUCACCCCUGAACGUUAUAGAAACGAUGAGGAAGAUGUGUUUGAUGCUGACGACGAAGAGGAAAUUCGGCCAAAAAAGAAGUGCAGAAAAGAGAAAUCACAGAUCCUCAUCCAGGCACCCCCACUGCCAGUGCUCCCACCAUUGAACUUUCCAAUCUCCAGCAAGUACCAGACCACUUCAGCCAGUACCAGCCAAUACUACACCACUCCAAGGCAUCCAGGCCGACCUCACAGCCCAGCGAGAAGCAGCACUUACAGGCUCAGUCCAGACAGGAAUCAUGCAUCUAGCUCAAGCCAGUACCAAACCACUCCAGCCAGUAUGAGUCAGUACCAGACCACUCCCAAGAAGCAGCAGGAAUGCCCUUGAAAGUGAACUUUUCCAGUUAAACAUGAAAGUUCAAAAACUAGUUGAGAACCAGGGAGAAAUUAUGCGCAUGCUGAGAGGGCUGGCAGCACAGUCUGUGGGGCCAGAAGCUGUGGAUGUUCAAGAUCUCAUUGAGAAGCCUUUCGAGACUCUUGAGCAGCUUAAGACCUUCAGUGAACAGCUCGACACUGAUCUUCUGCUCAGAAAGCAGCUGGUGAAAGCUCUUACUGCUCUUGGUGGGCAGAAUUUGGCAGACACAGUGAGGACAAUGCUGAGGAAAAUUGCCACAAACAAAGUCCUGGAGCAGCUUGGUCUCCGUGGAAAGACAGGCAAAGUGGCAUUUGAGGACUUGCCCUUUUACAGAAUAAUAAUAAGGAAUUCUAAAUUGUGCUGGUGAUUCCAGAGGCAUGCAGGGGUGUUCACAAACAGACGACCACAGCUGAAGUAGAUUGUGAGCUUGGAGAGGUCCUGAAACUGGCCACUUUUUGAAAGGGAGGUUCAAAGUUUGAGGAGAAGAGGAGGAAUUAAGAGGAAGCGACGGCGAAGAAGGGCAAAGGGAGGUGUACAAAGGAAAUGGACAGUGAGAUGAGUGACCAGGAAGCGACGGCGAAGAAGGGCAAAGGGAGGUGUACAAAGGAAUAGGACAGUGAUAUGAGUGACCAGGAAGCGACGGCGAAGAAGUGCAAAGGGAGGUGUACAAAGGGAAUGGACAGUGAGAUGAGUGACCAGGAAGUGAAGAAGAAGAAAACAGGGAAAGGGAAAAGAACCAAGCAAACGCCAGUGAGACCAGUGAGCAUUGAGCAGGAAGAGAACCAACAAGAAGGGGCAGGAGUACACUGACGCGCACGACCAAGACCACAGCAUUCCAUUUCUAUUGUAUUAUAAUUAUCACUAAUAAAUAAUUAUUGUUGAA